UACGUAGGGGGCAAGCGUUGUCCGGAUUUAUUGGGCGUAAAGAGCGCGCAGGCGGUCGGUCAAGUCGCGUGUGAAAGCCCCCGGCUCAACUGGGGAGGGUCACGCGAUACUGAUCGACUCGAAGGCAGGAGAGGGUAGUGGAAUUCCCGGUGUAGUGGUGAAAUGCGUAGAUAUCGGGAGGAACACCAGUGGCGAAGGCGACUACCUGGCCUGUUCUUGACGCUGAGGCGCGAAAGCUAGGGGAGCAAACGGG
rnacentral:rRNA from 1 species